AGUGAACGCUGGCGGUAGGCCUAACACAUGCAAGUCGAACGGCAGCACAGUAAGAGCUUGCUCUUACGGGUGGCGAGUGGCGGACGGGUGAGGAAUACAUCGGAAUCUACUUUUUCGGGGGGGAUAACGUAGGGAAACUUACGCUAAUACCGCAUACGACCUACGGGUGAAAGCAGGGGAUCUUCGGACUUUGCGCGAUUUAAUGAGCCGAUGUCGGAUUAGCCAGUUGGCGGGGUAAAGGCCCACCUAGGGGACGAUCCGGAUCUGGUCUGAGAGGAGGAUCAGGCACACUGGAACGGAGACACGGUCCGGAUUCCUACGGUAGGCCGCGGUGGGGUAUAUUCGACUAUUCGCGCAAGCCUGAUCCAGCCACACCUCGUGGGUGAAGAAGGCCUUCGGGUUGUAAAACCCUUUUGUUGGGAAAGAAAAGCAUCUAGUUAAUACGCCGCUGUGCUGACGGUACCCAAAGAAUAAGCACCGGCUAACUUCGUG
rnacentral:rRNA from 1 species